CCUAUGUAGAUGCACUUAAAAUGUUCUUAGAUGACUUAGAUUCAGUUAGAUGCAUUUUGUACGUUAAUAUGAAUGUAGAAAGCUUUGUAUUGGAUCUGGCCUCAUUUGAAUUAUCUGCAAACUUAAGACGUGGGUGAAUUUAGAAAAAAGAAGGGGGUUUUAGGUCCACCUUAUUGCAGUUGAUGAGAACAGUCAGUUAAAAUUGUAGGAAUCUUGUGCAUUGGAUGAGGUGAAAAAGAAAAGGGAAUCACGAUAUGCUUGGGUUUUGAGGAAUUAUAUGGUCUUGCUCAUCAGCAUUCUUACAGUUUGGUACUAGAGGAGUGUCCCUGCAUGUCAGGCACUUUUCUGUUGAUCCAAACCAUUGAUAUGGUGGCCCUUUGGAUGAUGGAUGCCCAAGAAUCUUCUGUUUUGAAUGAGCUCAACCCAUGUACCAGUAAACAAGAAAUACAUGGUUUGGUGAAAAGUGCAGCUAUAGUCCACAUUCAAUCUGAAAAGGGCAAAGAUCAAUGGACUAGGAUCUCCAUGUCUGGCAGAUUUCUGGUGCAUCCCUCAUCCGUAUUUAGGGUCAUCACAUCAAUGGUUUGCAUCACUGAAUCAUAGGCCCUGCAUUCAGGGAAUCCUGUAUGUACAUUUCUUUUGAUGAGCAGGGCCCAUAUAAUUCAUCUUUAAUUUCAACCAUCUAUUUAUCCAUUUGUCCUAGGAUGGCAGUCAAAAACAUUCUUUAUGGAGCAUGUCCCUUUGCAAAUUGAAACCCAUUUGAAUUCUCUUUAAGUAGUUAAUAUGAAAUCUUCUCUGGCUGUUUUUUCGCGGAGGCUUCCAUUCACAGUGGGAUUUAUUGGCAGCAUGGUGGGUACCAUAUAUGUGUCAAUGGUGCUUCACAGCUACGUUCUCUCUGUUUUCUUCUCUGUUUUACAGAUUUACAAAAGCAGAAUAGGGGAAUAAAAAGACUACUGGAAUGAGAAAGACCUUGCUCCAAUGGGCAGCGAGCAGGAUCUUCUCCAAAAUAAAUGGCCAGUGCAUCUGCAUUUCAACCCUGUCAAACAUCCAGCCCAGAAAUCAUGUUCGGUACCAAAUAUUUUUGUCAACAGCAUAAACAUUUCGUAAAUUUUAACUAGUAUCAUCUAAGUGAAGAACUGAUACAUACCACCCCAGAAUAAGUGAAGUUAAUGACCUCACUUCAGCUUCAGCAACAACAAGAAAUUCCUUUAAAGUCUGAACAGUCAAAACACUUCAAUUAGAUGUGCCAAUACAAAUAGGAAUAUUAUUUGAAAGGAGAGUUGAAAGGACAAGUUCAGACAGGGAACCACUAUUUACAUCUUACACCCACCCUUAUUGAAAGGUAUGUAGAAGGUUAGCUUGCAUAAAAUUUUAAUUUUUGGUUUCUCUAUAUGAUUUAAAUGACAUGUGGUUACUCUUAAUCCAACGUAAAGUGCAUGACUGACUAAUCUUUUUGUUCCGAUAGUGACAGGGACUCUGAAAGGAUACGAUCAGUUACUUAACCUAGUGCUUGAUGAAGCACUAGAGUUUCUAAGUGGUAUUUAUUUAUUUAUUUAUUUUGUUUUUGAAGAUUGAAUCGAAGAGGUAUUUAUCUCACGACUCUUUGGUUGGAAGUUAUGGCUGCUAUUUAUCAAAGAGAUUUUGUUGAUGAGUUGUACCAGACUAGGGUGCAUUUGGACGCAGCACAAAUCGAUAUUGGGUUAAGAACUAGAACGGUGUCAAGUUUACUUGAAAAAAAAAAAUCAAGAAAAAAGAAAAGAAGAGAAGAACCAGUAGGUCCCAUUCUCAUGUCACUAAUGUUCUCUUUUUGGGUGGAAAAUGGAGCCCACCUACCACAGCUUCUGUCCUCUGACCCUUCCCAAGUGCACAGUGGCCAGUCCUGCUGGCUGCUGGAAUAACCGACCCGAAUCAACUUGGGGCACAUGCAAACAGGUUGUCAUGAUAGCUGCAGAUGCCACUGGGGCCAUGAUCCCAUUCAAACUGGCAGAUUGCUGGUACAGGGGUGAUUGAACAUUGAACUUCUUACGAUCUCUGCUGUAUGGCCAGCCUCAUUUAUUUGCUUCCGUUACUAGUGUGCCAGUCAUUCGCUGCCCCUUUCUAGCCUCUCCUAAUUGACUGGACCACACCGGAUUCGCCAACCAUCAUCUCCUUUUUAGCUUGUCCGUUCAGCUUUGAAUACAGAGAUGCUACCUCAUUCAAGUCUUCGCUUCUAUAAAGUUGGUCAUUUAAUUUCUGUAUCCAGAGAAGUACCUAUCACCACAUGCAUCAACUGUGAACUACCGCCAUUAGCAACAAAAUGGAACUAUCAGUUGAAUAACUCAAGCCGUGGGUCAUUUGCACCACUAGCUCUAAUGCCACUUCCCUUCCAUCUGAAAAUAACUCUCAUUGUCUCAGAUAAUUCUUUGCUGCAUUCAUUCUUGCUUGCAUUGUCUUUCUAUUGCAUGCGAGAAGAGAGUAUUUAUUAAUGCUUGUUGUGCUGGCUUUAUGGCCUUGGGGUUGCUUGAUGUGUUUUCUGGGUUUCUUAGCUCCCAAGACGAGGAGUGGGUUGUUCAUCUCUGAGGUUUCUGCUUCCAAUCCUGGCUUACGGGGGAGCAGGGGUUUGCUAUUCCGUUAGUAGGAAUGGCCGGCUUGAGGGCCACAGGAUGUCGAAUCUCAAUGGAAGAAAGAAAAGACGAUGAUGAGCGGAUGGAAAACAGUCAUUUUGAGGAUGGUACAUCGAGUAUGGAACAGAAAGGGGUGAAUCAGCAGACACUUUCAGCUGCUGCCAAGCAAUCUAUGCAGGAAUCGAUGGGUUACCAAGAUGUUGAAGUUGCAAAUGACCAAAAUUCUGUUGAAAAUGCAUCAGAAGUUGCUCCUGGUUAUGUGCCAAGUGAACUUAGUGAACAAAUUAUUUUUGAAAUCUCUUCAUUGAUGGUCCGCCCAUUAGGUGUUGCACAAGGAACAUUUCAACAUUUGGGUUUUCAUGAAGACUGAGAAGCAAUCAGCCUAUCAAGAACCUGAGUUCACUAAUCUAUAUGUAAAGAAUCUGGAAAAUGGGUUGACUGAUGAUCUCUUUGGGAAAAGUUGUGUAUUUGGGAAUAUAAUCAAUGCUAUUGUAAUGAAGGAUGAUUAUGGGAAAUCCCAGGGCUUUGGGUUUGUUAGCUUCGAGUUGCCAAAAGACACUAAGAAGGCUAUGUAGGCCAUGAAUGGUGCACAACUGGAAUCUCCAUGUAGGAAGGGCUCAAAAGAAGGCUGAACGAGAGCAGAUGCUAAGUUGCGAUUUCAAGGGUUUGAACGUGUAUGUGAAAAAACCUCGUUGACUCUAUUGAUGACAACAAAUUAUGUGAAAUUUUUGGUACUUCGGCAAAACAAGUUCAGCAAA